GAUGAACGCUGGCGGCGUGCCUAAUACAUGCAAGUCGAGCGAACGGACGAGAAGCUUGCUUCUCUGAUGUUAGCGGCGGACGGGUGAGUAACACGUGGAUAACCUACCUAUAAGACUGGGAUAACUUCGGGAAACCGGAGCUAAUACCGGAUAAUAUUUUGAACCGCAUGGUUCAAUAGUGAAAGACGGUCCUGCUGUCACUUAUAGAUGGAUCCGCGCUGCAUUAGCUAGUUGGUAAGGUAACGGCUUACCAAGGCAACGAUGCAUAGCCGACCUGAGAGGGUGAUCGGCCACACUGGAACUGAGACACGGUCCAGACUCCUACGGGAGGCAGCAGUAGGGAAUCUUCCGCAAUGGGCGAAAGCCUGACGGAGCAACGCCGCGUGAGUGAUGAAGGUCUUCGGAUCGUAAAACUCUGUUAUUAGGGAAGAACAUAUGUGUAAGUAACUGUGCACAUCUUGACGGUACCUAAUCAGAAAGCCACGGCUAACUACGUG
rnacentral:rRNA from 1 species